AACGCAUCUUGCGCUCCUUGGUACUCCGAGGAGCAUGCCUGUUUGAGUGUCAUUAAAUUCUCAACUCUCUUAUACUUUGUUGUAAAGGAGGGCUUGGAUUGUGGAGGUUUGCUGGCAACUUGUUGGGGCCAGCUCCUCUGAAAUGCAUUAGCGGAACCGUUUGCGAUCUGCCACGAGUGUGAUAAACUAUCUACACUGGCGAGGGGAUUGCUCUGUGUUGUUCAGCUUCUAAUCGUCUCAGUUUUACGAGACAACUUUUUGAAUACUUGACCUCAAAUCAGGUAGGACUACCCGCUGAACUUAA
rnacentral:misc_RNA from 1 species